ACAGCCUGAAUGAGAGGGAAGCAAGGAGAUGACGCCCUUAGCUCUGAAAAGACAUUUUCCCAAGCAGCUGGCAAGGCCCCCGCCUGCUCCGGGGGAUUUUCCAAUCUGCUCCAGAAAGGGCCAGCUCCGAGCAUGUUGGGAGCAUUCAGGGACAUGGCGAGGCCCACUUCGCGAGCCCUGGCCGUGAGCACAGCGCGUCUGCAGGUCCUUUCUCCUGCUUUUCCCUUUCCCCUCCUGCUUUUCCUGGCGACAGGGUGAUCAGAGACGGGGAGCGAAGAGCCUCCCAGAGCCCUUCUCCCCUUGGCAGCCUUCGGCCGCAUCCGAGACCUCGGCCCAGCAAACGCAGCCUCCCUGCGUGGCACAGAGCUCUAACGGAAAGACGCAGGUUUGGGAGAGAAGCAAGAUCUUCCGUCCCAAGCGUGGAACGACUGUGCUCAGAACUGGGAACCCAGGACAUAGAAUGAAUGGCUGACCUGCCUCGUACGCUGUGGACAUUUGCUCUCGAGGCCCGGGAGGUCCACUGCCCAGCAGCUGCAAGCCGGCCUGCCUGUGGUUCCCUAAAGAUCAGGACGGAUGGGGAAAAGCGCCCUUCUUAGGUGAAAGCAUCAGCUCGUUUCUACGUGUCAGCACUGGGAGAAGAUGUGGGGUCAGUGUCUUCACCAGGGAGCUGGUGCGAGGAUCAGCCCGUGAGAUGACAGACUCGGCGCCCUGCCAGAUGCUGUAAAGCGUGGAACUGUGUCAUCGAUGGUUAAGGAGAAAACAGGGUUUUGCAAAGGCACAACUAGAAGGAUGAAGGUGGCUGAAUAUUUGUCUUCUGAGUGAUACGGACUUUCCUUGAAGAAUGGCGCAUUUACGAGUGUCAGCCUGCCACCCGUUACUGCGAUUAGGUUCUUCAGCAACCGAGGAGGAAUGAGGAGGACUCAGACGGAUUUCGAAGAAUGGCAUGACUAAUGUACAAACAAGAGUGAAAGGGAGUGUUGGAAAAACUCAGGGACACUGAAGACUGAAGUGGGUUGAAAACAAAUCAGAACGUGAGUUCUCCCACUUGAGUGCGAGCAGAAUUUGUUUUUCAGAAGUAAUUUUUAAGGAUUCACUUGGAGAAGGAAGAGGGAUUUUCCUUUACGCUUUUGGAUCGGAUGGCUCUGUGUUGCGAACGGUUUUCUCGCGGCCUUCAAGAAUUUGUUUGGUACCCACUUGUUCAAAACCCAAGGGCAAACAGCCAAGUCCCCUUAAAGCUGUCCGCCCGGGACUACGGGAGUCAGUUUGAAACGUCUUCGUUUUAAGAAGGUGGCAGAAUUACAUAAUUAUUCACAGCUCAUAAGAAAUUAAAAUACCUCUUCCAAAUAUGAAGUCGCGAGAUAACACAAACCACAAGUCCUAGACUCUCGGAGGGCGUGUGCCUCGUUUGUGCUCCCACACACAAACCCACAGCCGACCGUCUGCGCUGAGAGCACGUGGCCCCACUGAGAGCACGUGGCCACGCUGACCUCGCUUCCCUCGUGUUCCUCCGCACACAGCAGGGCUCUUGCCCAGGGCCUCCCUUGGCGACGCCGAGGGACCGAAGAUGCCAAAUGCUGGAGAGGCGGGAGGUCACCACAAGGCACCUGGGACCACAGACGCACUCUCUUCCACUCAUGGCCAGGGUGCACGAGGUGAGGAACCCCGUGCACGUGGUGUCCAGUUCUUCUUCGAGUCCUGCUGUCGGUUCUUUCAGACGCUUCUGCAGCGGUUGCACCCUUUCGCAUUCCUGCCAGCCGGGCAGAGGUCCCACUUCUGCACGUGCUCACCAGCACUCGUUAUUUGAUGUAUUCUGGUAGUCCCAUUGCUGCGACCGUGAGACCGUCACACAGACGCAGUCUCUAAACUUCCCUCUGCGAGCACGAGAAGCAGCCCCUUGGUCAGGCAGGGCCGGGGGUGGGGCGGGACGGGGCGGGACGGGGUACUCGUCAGAAGCUGGGUCCAGCGCCUGCAAAUCACCUUUAAUUUAUAGCUCUGCAAAUCCCCGUGGCCCAUCGCAGUGCCCAGCCAGCCCGGGGUCUUCAUGAGUGUUGCUUGGUUGGGAGGCAUGGCUGCGUCACCAGUGGACAGCUUUGGGGACUGUGCGAUUCGGCCUGUGGCUGCAGCUCAGGUAGUGGGUGGGGAAGGGGUGGCAGGAGGGGGCUGGAGUGUCUCCUGGGGCCACACUUCCCUGGCCUUCAGCCUGAAGCUCAGGAGUCGGAUAUUUCUCCCAGGAGCUAAGAGAAGAUUUUACGUCGGGGACAAUCUGGCUAGACACGUAUGGUUCGGAAGUCAGGCUGCCCACAGCCGCGUGCAGGGUACGGGAGAAGAAGAGACUCUGGGAGGCCAGUGUGGACACGGCAGUGGUGGAUCCGUCUGCCAUGAGGCACUGAGCUGGACGAUGGCAUCUGUUAGCUGUGCCCCCUUGCCAGCCCCCAGGGGCCACACGUCCUUAUGCACAACAGGUGCUGGGGACGCAGUCCCCAUUUGGAAACUCACGGAUGAGGCGGAAAUAAGACUACCACGGGGAAGGGGAGAGGAGCUAGGCGCAUUCUGGGCAGAAAUCUUCAGUUUCUGGAAGCUGAGAAGGUGAUAACAGGAACAUCUGAAGACGCAGAAGCUGCUCAUCUUAGUAGCUUGGCCAACAAGAAGGACGGGGUUAAAUUCCCUCCCGAGAAAAGUGUGUUCACCGAGCUUCGCGUUUCCCUCCGUCCUUUCCCCCUUGCCUUCCUGCUAUGGACACGACAGCGUGACGCUGCAGAAAGGAUGAAGUCCAGAAAACAGAAGACUUCUGUUUGUUUUUCACUGUGGCGCUGAUGGCUUCCUCUGUGCUCAGAUUUGGGUCCGCCUCUGGGUAGUUGGCAAAGCGAGAUGUGCCAUUUGUCAUUAAAAAAAUAAAAACAUUCAAAG
rnacentral:lncRNA from 1 species